UACGUAGGUGGCAAGCGUUGUCCGGAAUUAUUGGGCGUAAAGCGCGCGCAGGCGGUCUUUUAAGUCUGAUGUGAAAGCCCACGGCUCAACCGUGGAGGGUCAUUGGAAACUGGGGGACUUGAGUGCAGAAGAGGAAAGUGGAAUUCCAAGUGUAGCGGUGAAAUGCGUAGAGAUUUGGAGGAACACCAGUGGCGAAGGCGACUUUCUGGUCUGUAACUGACGCUGAGGCGCGAAAGCGUGGGGAG
rnacentral:rRNA from 1 species